AGACGGAGAGGGCUAGCGUUGUUCGGAUUUACUGGGCGUAAAGAGCGCGUAGGCUGCUAGGCAAGUUGGGAGUGAAAGCCCGAGGCUCAACCUCGGAACUGCUCUCAAAACUGCCUGGCUAGAGUAUGGUAGAGGAUAGUGGAAUUCCUAGUGUAGAGGUGAAAUUCUUAGAUAUUAGGAGGAACACCAGUGGCGAAGGCGACUCCCUGGACUCGAACUGACGCUGAGGUACGAAAGCGUGGGUAGCAAACGGGAUUAGAAACCCCAGUAGUCC
rnacentral:rRNA from 1 species